rnacentral:rRNA from 1 species
UACGUAGGGGGCAAGCGUUGUCCGGAUUUAUUGGGCGUAAAGAGCGUGUAGGCGGUCAGGUAGGUCCGUUGUGAAAACUCGAGGCUCAACCUCGAGACGCCGAUGGAAACCAUCUGACUAGAGUCCGGAAGAGGAGAGUGGAAUUCCUGGUGUAGAGGUGAAAUGCGCAGAUAUCAGGAAGAACACCCGUGGCUAAGGCGGCUCUCUAGUACGGUACUGACGCUGAGACGCGAAAGCGUGGGGAGCGAACAGG